CCAGACUCCUACGGGAGGCAGCAGUGGGGAAUAUUGCACAAUGGGGGAAACCCUGAUGCAGCGACGCCGCGUGAGGGAGGACGGUCUUCGGAUUGUAAACCUCUGUCUUUGGGGAAGAAAUCAGACGGUACCCAAAGAGGAAGCUCCGGCUAACUACGUGCCAGCAGCCGCGGUAAUACGUAGGGAGCGAGCGUUGUCCGGAAUUACUGGGUGUAAAGGGAGCGUAGGCGGGCUUGUAAGUUGAAUGUCCAAUCCACCGGCUCAACCGGUGAUCGCGCUCAAAACUGCAGGUCUUGAGUGAAGUAGAGGCAGGCGGAAUUCCUAGUGUAGCGGUGAAAUGCGUAGAUAUUAGGAGGAACACCAGUGGCGAAGGCGGCUUACUGGACUGUAACUGACGUUGAGGCUCGAAAGCGUGGGGAGCAAACAGGAUUAGAUACCCCCGUA
rnacentral:rRNA from 1 species